rnacentral:rRNA from 1 species
GACGAACGCUGGCGGCGUGCCUAAUACAUGCAAGUAGGACGCACAGUUUAUACCGUAGCUUGCUACACCAUAGACUGUGAGUUGCGAACGGGUGAGUAACGCGUAGGUAACCUGCCUAUUAGAGGGGGAUAACUAUUGGAAACGAUAGCUAAUACCGCAUAACAGUAUGUAACACAUGUUAGAUGCUUGAAAGAUGCAAUUGCAUCGCUAGUAGAUGGACCUGCGUUGUAUUAGCUAGUAGGUAGGGUAAAGGCCUACCUAGGCAACGAUACAUAGCCGACCUGAGAGGGUGAUCGGCCACACUGGGACUGAGACACGGCCCAGACUCCUACGGGAGGCAGCAGUAGGGAAUCUUCGGCAAUGGGGGGAACCCUGACCGAGCAACGCCGCGUGAGUGAAGAAGGUUUUCGGAUCGUAAAGCUCUGUUGUUAAGGAAGAACGAGUGUGAGAAUGGAAAGUUCAUACUGUGACGGUACUUAACCAGAAAGGGACGGCUAACUACGUGCCAGCAGCCGCGGUAAUACGUAGGUCCCGAGCGUUGUCCGGAUUUAUUGGGCGUAAAGCGAGCGCAGGCGGUUAGAAAAGUCUGAAGUGAAAGGCAGUGGCUCAACCAUUGUAGGCUUUGGAAACUGUUUAACUUGAGUGCAGAAGGGGAGAGUGGAAUUCCAUGUGUAGCGGUGAAAUGCGUAGAUAUAUGGAGGAACACCGGUGGCGAAAGCGGCUCUCUGGUCUGUAACUGACGCUGAGGCUCGAAAGCGUGGGGAGCGAACAGGAUUAGAUACCCUGGUAGUCCACGCCGUAAACGAUGAGUGCUAGGUGUUAGGUCCUUUCCGGGACAUAGUGCCGCAGCUAACGCAUUAAGCACUCCGCCUGGGGAGUACGACCGCAAGGUUGAAACUCAAAGGAAUUGACGGGGGCCCGCACAAGCGGUGGAGCAUGUGGUUUAAUUCGAAGCAACGCGAAGAACCUUACCAGGUCUUGACAUCCCGAUGCUAUUUCU